rnacentral:rRNA from 1 species
CUACGGGACGCUCCAGUGAGGAAUAUUGCACAAUGGGGGGAACCCUGAUGCAGCAACGCCGCGUGGAGGAUGACGCAUUUCGGUGUGUAAACUCCUUUUAUAUGUCAAGAAAAUGACGGUAGCAUAUGAAUAAGCACCGGCUAACUCCGUGCCAGCAGCCGCGGUAAUACGGAGGGUGCAAGCGUUACUCGGAAUCACUGGGCGUAAAGGACGCGUAGGCGGGUUGGAAAGUCAGGUGUGAAAUCCUACAGCUUAACUGUAGAACUGCACUUGAAACUUCUAAUCUAGAGUAUGGGAGGGGGAGAUGGAAUUAGUGGUGUAGGGGUAAAAUCCGUAGAUAUCACUAGGAAUACCUAAAGCGAAGGCGAUCUCCUGGAACAUUACUGACGCUAAGGUGUGAAAGCGUGGGGAGCAAACAGGAUUAGAUACCCCGGUAAUC